GACAAAUUCAUCAUUUUCAGCGUAGUUUUGGAAAAAUGAUAGCCUUGUUUUUGUGAGCUAUCAUAAAAAUAUCAAUCUGAAAAAUAGAUAGGCCAACAUUCUUUCAAUCAAUUGUUUUGAGAAACUCAUCAUUGUCCGCUAGCAUGUGCCUACUUCUUGAAGUGAACACACCAACGCUCAGUAGGGUAUGUUUUGGCAUUGGUGAUAUUUUCAAUUCAAAUUCAACCUCGUGAAAAAGCGCAGUGCAUAUGACAUCCAUUCAUCAACAGUCCGCUUGAAGUGUCAAAAUGAGCUCUCAAAAAGGAAAUGCGAACCGAACCAGGGCUCAGAAGCAUAAAAAUGUAACCAAGUUCAACAACAGCAUGCAUGAUACUUCCAGACGAACCAAGCUCCUGAACAACAUGGAGGUGCAUGGUGUUUGCCAAAGGUGUAAAGACAUAAUCGACUGGAAAAUCAAGUACAAGAAGUACAAGCCUCUGACAGCUCCCAAAACGUGCACCAAAUGCCACCAAAAGACUAUCACACAGGCGUACAGAACCAUCUGUAGAAACUGUGCAUCAUCACUACAAGUCUGCGAGAAGUGCGGAGAAUCCAAGACGGUAAUACCGAAAACCAUUCUCACGCCACAGGAGCAAAUGAAAGAGGAAGCCGAGCUGGAGAAGGAGCUGAAGGGCCUUCCGGAGCGGAAAAGGAGAAGCCUAAAGAGGUGUAUGGCCAAAGAGAGGAGCAAUCCAGACAGUGAUCCCAACAACUUCAUCAGGGACAUGCGGCAGAGGAUCGAGGACGUGAGGCAGGGUCUGGAUGACGGUCUGUCGGAUAUGUCGGACUACACCAGUGGGGAAGAGAGCGGCGGGGAGGAUGGGGAGGAAUAAAUGACGGACAACAA